GAUGAACGCUGGCGGCGUGCCUAAUACAUGCAAGUCGAGCGAACGGACGAGAAGCUUGCUUCUCUGAUGUUAGCGGCGGACGGGUGAGUAACACGUGGAUAACCUACCUAUAAGACUGGGAUAACUUCGGGAAACCGUAGCUAAUACCGGAUAAUAUUUUGAACCGCAUGGUUCAAAAGUGAAAGACGGUCUUGCUGUCACUUAUAGAUGGAUCCGCGCUGCAUUAGCUAGUUGGUAAGGUAACGGCUUACCAAGGCAACGAUGCAUAGCCGACCUGAGAGGGUGAUCGGCCACACUGGAACUGAGAUACGGUCCAGACUCCUACGGGAGGCAGCAGUAGGGAAUCUUCCGCAAUGGGCGAAAGCCUGACGGAGCAACGCCGCGUGAGUGAUGAAGGUCUUCGGAUCGUAAAACUCUGUUAUUAGGGAAGAACAUAUGUGUAAGUAACUGUGCACAUCUUGACGGUUUCUAAUCAGAAAGCCACGGCUAACUACGUG
rnacentral:rRNA from 1 species